rnacentral:tRNA from 1 species
UGUGGCUCAGUGGUAGAGCGCUUGCCUAGCAUGCAUGGGGCUCCGGGUUCGAUCCUCAGCA